GGCGCCUCUCCAACCUUAUCCUCCUCCCAGAGUAACACCUUUCACACAUCCCUUUUCCCUUUCUCCGCGUCGGCGCGUCCAAAUCCUCCCGCUCCUCCUCCCCUUGAACUCCUCGCCGGAGCAACGGAUCCACCGGCUCUGACGCCGACAAACGCGGGUCAGCUAGAUCCAGCGCCACCUGCUCCAUACUCCCCCGAAUAUUCCACUUACGAGCCCUGCCGCCACGUCUGGAGGUCAUGUUCCCCACUUCGGUGCUGCCGCCGUACUUGCGGCUCUCCCCCUCUUCCUGCUGCUCCAGCUCUAGCCCUCCCUCCGCAACAUCCUCUCCUUUGCCCUACUCGCCGGAGCAAUGGGGAUACCAGACUGCCGGCGAUGAGUCCGGGGCAGCCAGAUCCAGCGCCACCUCACCCAUGGCAGUUGCUCCGGCGCGACGAUGGCCAGGGGCCGCGCUGCCCUCCUCAGGUUAAUACAGAAGUUAGGUGAAGAAGGACCCGGGCAAGACUUACAGGCAAGCUACCUCUCCAUGAAGAUUGGAGGCAUGUUCCAAGAAGUCAUUGCAAUGUUUGUUCCAGUACUGAACCAAUCUAGCUCGGCUCCAUUUCAAGCCAUCAUAGGCACCACCUCAGACAUUCUACUCGCUGCAAAGCCAGGGAGCCAUUUCUCUCUCUCAGGUUGGCAUGUUUCCUUUUUCUUAGUUAAAUCAUAAAUUAACAGGCCCAACUUAAUUAUCAUGGAAUAAGCUGUUGACUAAAUUUGUAAUCUUGUGAUUCGUAUUUUAAGUUGUUGCUUAGACUAGUUCCUGCAUAGUUAGUUUUCAGUUAGUUUUUUUUUUUCAGUUAGCUGCAUUUUCAGAUCGGUGACCUAUCUUGAUUCUGUUGUGGGAUGGCGCAAUGUAUGGAUCGAGUGUUUACGUGGUCAUAUGCAUGUAACAAACUCCAGUUUAUAAGGAGGAUAAUAAAUAGAUAAAGAGGAGUGACGAAAAAACUGCAAGUAUUGCGCAGCACAAAAACUCUGUUAUCUCGUUUUGCUCUGUUUUUCAGUAAACUGUUUCUCGUCUGAAAAGGUCAGAGUUAUAGGAUAGCCACAGUCUCGCGUGAGUAAAACAGGGGAUUUGCUGACAUAAGCCACAACAAUUUUACCCACCUAAGGUCACUCUGUGUAUUCAUUUCAGGACAAUGACAAGCAUUGGGAUAGCCAAGGCAGUAGAUUCUCAAUCAAUUGGUGCUCUGUCUACUAGGUGAAGAGUGACAAAUAAAGAAUGUAAAUGACCAACACCAAAGCAGGAUCUGCAAGUCAACUGGCUCAUCUGCAUAUUAUUUGAGGUGUUGUCGGACUGCCUGCGAUGCCAUUCGUCAACUCUUUUCUAGUUGCACUACCUCUUUGGUUAUCUAAGCUUAAGAAUUAAUAUUCAAAUUACAUCUCAGAUGUAGCUGAUGAGAUUGACAUUGCUAUUGUUUCAUAUUAGAUUGUUGCCAAACUGAUUAAUUGUACGUGGAUGUCAAUGCAUUGAAAUCCAUUCUACCAUUGUAUUUGUGAUCAUCUGUGAUGUGUUAUUAGGAUCCUACUAUUCUGAUGGAAGUAAAUAAUAUAAAUGAAUCAGCAAACCCAUUUUAGUUUGCCCUC
rnacentral:lncRNA from 2 species